GCAUAUCAAUAAGCGGAGGAAAAGAAACCAACAGGGAUUGCCUCAGUAACGGCGAGUGAAGCGGCAACAGCUCAAAUUUGAAAUCUGGCCUCUUUGGGGUCCGAGUUGUAAUUUGUAGAGGAUGUUUCGGGUACCGCCUCGGUUUAAAUUUCUUGGAACAGAAUGUCAGAGAGGGUGAGAAUCCCGUCUUGGACCGGCGGUAGGGCCCAUGUGAAACUCCUUCGACGAGUCGAGUUGUUUGGGAAUGCAGCUCAAAAUGGGUGGUAAAUUUCAUCUAAAGCUAAAUAUUGGCCAGAGACCGAUAGCGCACAAGUAGAGUGAUCGAAAGAUGAAAAGCACUUUGAAAAGAGAGUUAAACAGUAUGUGAAAUUGUUGAAAGGGAAGCGCUUACAACCAGACUUGCGCGCGGCGGUUCCCCCUUCCUUUUGGUUGGGCUACUCCGUCGUGUCCAGGCCAACAUCGGUUCUGGGGGUCGGUUAAAGACCCUGGGAAUGUAUCUACCCUUCGGGCGUAGACUUAUAGCUCAGGGUGUCAUGCGACCUCCCGGGACCGAGGAACGCGCUUCGGCUCGGAUGUUGGCGUAAUGGUUGUCAGCGACCCGUCUUGAAACACGGACC
rnacentral:rRNA from 1 species